AGGAUUAACGCUGGCGGCGUGCCUAACACAUGCAAGUCGAACGAGGUAGUAAUACCUAGUGGCAGACGGGUGAGUAACGCGUGGUCAACCUACCGUUGAGUGGGGGAUAACUAGCCGAAAGGUUAGCUAAUACCGCAUACGAGUCUUGGGGGCAUCCCCGGGCCUUAAAAGGAGCAAUCCGCUCGAUGACGGGACCGCGUCCCAUUAGCUAGAUGGUGGGGUAACGGCCUACCAUGGCACCGAUGGGUAGCUGGUUUGAGAGAGCGACCAGCCACACUGGGACUGAGAAACGGCCCAGACUCCUACGGGAGGCAGCAGUGAGGAAUUUUCCGCAAUGGGCGAAAGCCUGACGGAGCGACGCCGCGUGUGGGAAGAAGGCCUUCGGGUCGUAAACCACUGUCGAAGGGGACGAUAAUGACGGUACCCUUGGAGGAAGCCCCGGCUAACUACGCGCCAGCAGCCGC
rnacentral:rRNA from 1 species